rnacentral:rRNA from 1 species
CUACGGGUUGCAGCAGUGAGGAAUUUUGCGCAAUGGGGGAAACCCUGACGCAGCAACGCCGCGUGAGUGAAGAAGGCCUUUGGGUCGUAAAGCUCUGUCAACAGGGAAGAAGUUACAAUUGUUUAAUAAAUGAUUGUAUUGACGGUACCUGUGGAGGAAGCGCCGGCUAACUCCGUGCCAGCAGCCGCGGUAACACGGGGGGCGCAGGCGUUAUUCGGAAUUAUUGGGCGUAAAGGGCGCGCAGGCGGUCUUGUCCGUCAGGUGUGAAAGCUCGGGGCUCAACCCCGGAAGUGCACUUGAAACAGCAAGACGUGAAUACGGGAGAGGAAAGCGGAAUUCCUGGUGUAGAGGUGAAAUUCGUAGAUAUCAGGAGGAACACCGAUGGCGAAGGCAGCUUUCUGGACCGAUAUUGACGCUGAGGCGCGAAGGCGUGGGGAGCGAACGGGAUUAGAUACCCUAGUAGUC